AGGACGAACGCUGGCGGCGUGCUUAACACAUGCAAGUCGAACGGUAAGGCCCCUUCGGGGGUACACGAGUGGCGAACGGGUGAGUAACACGUGGGUAAUCUGCCCUGCACUUCGGGAUAAGCCUGGGAAACCGGGUCUAAUACCGGAUAUGAGCUCUCACCGCAUGGUGGGGGUUGGAAAGUUUUUCGGUGCAGGAUGAGUCCGCGGCCUAUCAGCUUGUUGGUGGGGUAAUGGCCUACCAAGGCGACGACGGGUAGCCGGCCUGAGAGGGUGAUCGGCCACACUGGGACUGAGACACGGCCCAGACUCCUACGGGAGGCAGCAGUGGGGAAUAUGCACAAUGGGCGAAGCUGAUGCAGCGACGCCGCGGUGGGGAGUGACGGUCUUCGGAUUGUAAACUCCUUCAGUAGGACGAGCGAGAGUGACGGUACUGCAGAAGAAGCACCGGCAACUCGUA
rnacentral:rRNA from 1 species